UGGGGAAUAUUGGACAAUGGGGGCAACCCUGAUCCAGCGAUGCCGCGUGUGUGAAGAAGGCCUGCGGGUUGUAAAGCACUUUAGUUGGGGAGGAAAGGUAUGUACUGCAUAAGUGCAUGCUGUGACGUUACCCAAAGAAUAAGCACCGGCAAACUCUGUGCCAGCAGCCGCGGUAAUACAGAGGGUGCAAGCGUUAAUCGGACUUACUGGGCGUAAAGCGCGUGUAGGUGGAUGAAUAAGUUGGAUGUGAAAGCCCCGGGCUCAACCUGGGAAUGCCAUUCAAAACUGUUCAUCUAGAGUAUGGUAGAGGGAAGUGGAAUUUCAGGUGUAGCGGUGAAAUGCGUAGAUAUCUGAAGGAACACCAGUGGCGAAGGCGGCUUCCUGGACCAAUACUGACACUGAGACGCGAAAGCG
rnacentral:rRNA from 1 species